GUGGAUUAGAUACCCUGGUAGUCCUAGCCUUAAACGAUGAAUGCUUGGUGUCUGGGGUUUUAUAGUCCCCGGGUGCCGUCGCUAACGCUUUAAGCAUUCCGCCUGGGGAGUACGGUCGCAAGACUGAAACUCAAAGGAAUUGACGGGGACCCGCACAAGCGGUGGAGCAUGUGGUUUAAUUCGACGCAACGCGAAGAACCUUACCUGGGCUAGAAUGCCCGUGACCGCCCCAGAGAUGGGGCUUCCUUGGUAAAACUUGGCACGGUGCAAGGUGCUGCAUGGCUGUCGACAACU
rnacentral:rRNA from 1 species